rnacentral:scRNA from 1 species
UGGGCAUCAGACAAGUCAUGCCGCCCACGCGG